rnacentral:rRNA from 1 species
AAUGAACGUUGGCGGCGUGGAUUAGGCAUGCAAGUCGAGCGAGAAGCUUGCUUCGGCAAGUGGACAGCGGCGAAAGGGACAGUAAUGUGUAGGUACCUACCCCCGGAUCUGGGAUAGCUGCGGGAAACUGCAGGUAAUACCGGAUAACGUCUCCGGACCAAAGGUGUGAUUCCGUCUGGGGAGGGGCCUGCAUCCUAUUAGCUUGUUGGUGAGGUAAUGGCUCACCAAGGCAACGAUGGGUAGCGGGUGUGAGAGCAUGACCCGCGUCAUUGGGACUGAGACACUGCCCAGACAUCUACGGAUGGCUGCAGUCGAGAAUCUUCGGCAAUGGGCGAAAGCCUGACCGAGCGACGCCGCGUGCGGGAUGAAGGCCCUCGGGUUGUAAACCGCUGUCAAUGGGGAGGAAGUGCAUUGGGGUUAUCCCCUUUGCUUGACCUAUCCAAGAAGGAAGUACGGGCUAAGUUCGUGCCAGCCGCCGCCGUAACAC